AUAUACAUACAUACAUACAUGUUGUAGAAUUAUAGAAUUCUUGAAAUUAUCUAAGCUAAUGCUUUGUCAGGAAGAAAUGUGCUGAAUAAUAAAAUGUGUAUUUACUAAAAGAACCUUGAAACUAACAAUACUAACUACUCAAAAUGGCUGCCAAAGCACCCCUCCCAUCGAGUGAACACCUCGUGCUAACAAGAUGGCGCCUACAUCUUGUGUCCACUCCCGUGUCAAGGAUGACAUCACCUCUUGAUAGGAGGAUAUCUAACUAACCACUUAACACCUGGACCAAUCAAUAGUGUCUAUUUGCUGUUAUCUUGAAUUCUUCAGUGAUGUAAUAAUGCCUUUAAAAGGGUCUGCGCACCCAUUUUCUGUCAGAAGCCAUUAAACUUCUCCGAAGUUCUUUCAUUAACCUGAACUCUGUGUCUCAGUGUGAAUUUACUUCUGCGUGCACGCAACUUUAUUAUCUUUAAUUUGGACAGGAACAGAUAGUCAUUCAAACUAAUUGGUUUGCAGUAAAUUAUCUACAACAUAUAUAUAUAUAUAUCUACCGAAAUCAGCGAGACCCCCCCCUGCCCCGCACAUCCCCGGCAAUAAUCAACACCAUAAACAUUUGGGACAAAACAACUCAAAAAAGCGGUCUCACAACACUCACCACUAACCCCGCUGCUCCGCAACACCCAUUUCCCACCGGGCAUGACACCCAAAGACUUUGCCCGCUUUGAAGCAAAUGACCUCACCCGACUAUACCACUUCUACAGAAACCAACAACCAAUACCUUUCUCAGACCUCCCACAAACCACACCAUACCGCACUUUCGACAUGUUCCGCCACAUCCAAAUCAAAAGCUUCCUGGAAACACCAGCAAUCAAACAAGCAGGUACUAAAGCACUCACACCCUUCGAAAAACAAUGCAUACAAUCACCAACACAAAAAAAACAACAAAUAUCCGCACUCUACACACACAUAAAUCAAAACGUCAAAGACGGAGCCCUUACAUAUGUGUCGGCUUGGGAGAGGGACCCAUCCGAUUGGGCCGAGAUCUGGGAGGCCAUAGCCUCCAUAUCAAUAUGCGUCAACCAUAAGGAACAGGCAUACAAGACGCUAAUGAGAUGGUAUCUUACCCCCCUAAAGCUCAAACAGAUGGGCAGGUCAGACACAGACUCCUGCUGGAAGGGAUGCGGACAAAAGGGUACCUUCACAUGUGGUGGGACUGCACAACUCUGGCAACAAGUAGCUUCCAUGGUAUCGAGAAUCCUCCACACAGAUAUAUCACUAGACCCCUGGACGUGGCUCCUAUCCAAACCACUAACCAACACACCCAGGGCUCAAAACAAACUAAUAGCCAAAAUAGCACUAGCCACCAGGAGAGCCAUAGCAGAAAAAUGGGGCAGCCCAGACACCCAGUCAAUGGACACAGAAAAACGCAAAAUAAAAGACGCAAUUAAAAUGGACGAAAUGUCCGCACUGGUCCACGACACGACUAAACACUUCCAUAAAAUCUGGGACCCCGCUAGCAGCGCAUCGGAGCGGCCACGCUUUUGUGAACUCCGACUCAAACGCGACAUAAAAGUACCCUUUUCACGGCGGAAACAGAUCCAAAAGAACCCACACAGCUUCCUAAGCCUCACUGCAGACCAUGGGCCGAAAAUCUAAAAAGGCAAAAGCUGAGAAAGGCACUCACGGCAGAGACAUCGGCGACAUGCUGAGGAACACACAACAGGCCGUAUGGUCCAAAAUGGCGGACGACCUUGCCUCAUAUUCCUCGGAGGAGCUUGAUACAGACCUCACGGAGGGAACGAGCUUCGGUCCCACACCAGACCACUACAAUACACCUAAAGCGCCUGGGGAACCAGUCACAGCGGAUCAGUUAAAGAAAAUGCUGGCUGAUCUGCGCAGGGACCUGGCAGCGGACAUGGCCUACUACAGAGAGGCCAUAGAAGGAGCCCAGUCCAAAAUCUCGCGGCUGGAGGCCUGCUCGAGUACACAGGACUCCAGAAUAGCCAAAGUGGAACAACAAAUGCCAGAUCUGUCGAAGCAGCAGACCGCCACCACGGAACGGCUAGAUGCCUUAGAAGAUCAGCGGAGGAGGUACAACUUAAAAAUCCGAGGAAUACCCGACUCAGUUGGCCUCUCUGAGCUGCCCCACUACAUUAGACGGUUCCUGGGAGCCCUAAUCCCACCUAAACAAAUGAAAUCCCUGAGACUAGACGGGAUGUUCCGACUACCAAAGCCGGCAAGAGCUCCAGCUGCCGCACCUACAGACCUCAUACUGCGCUUCCAAUCCCUGUCGGACAAAGCUACACUCCUAGCUGCACUACGUAACAAGACACCUUUGCCAUUUGAGGGCACAACUCUAACAAUCUUCCCAGAUAUUACCAAGAGCACCCUUACCUGGAGGAAAUCAAUGCAACCCCUCCUGCAGCACCUCCGAGCCAAAGAGAUGCCCUACCGAUGGGGAACACCGCGAGCAGUAAUCUUCACCCAUAACGGGAUAACUCACAAGGCACAGACCUUCCAGGAACUAGAGUCACUCCUCACGACCAUGGGCAUAAUUCCAGCAGCGCCAACGAAAGGCACAGGACUGUCCCAGCUUGACCUGGCGAAUGUACGGGAGUUCACCCCGAGGGAGACCCAGAAGGCAUUGCCAAAUAGACACCCCACUUGAGGCAUUAAGGAUAGCCCAAGCUAUGGGGUCACUAUAAUUCCGCCAAGAACGUUCCUCACAUAGUUUGAGACUGCUACUAGAAGGUCUAUCAGUUACUUUGUUAAAGUUUUAUUUUCGUUGACAGUUACAAUUCUUUUUUGUCUUUUUUACACAUACUCACAUACAAUCCGUGCUUAACGACAUAGAGCUGCUCCACACACACAUGAGACAGCUGACGGAACUAGUCACACACAAAUAGGCCGCCCGCACAGAAGAACUCGACAAGUUCACACACAGAUAGGCUAUCACGACACAACUUCAACGAGGCUAUACAAAUCUGCUCACAGCCAUGGCGGAGUAGCCUUUCUCCCCCCCACCCCCCUCCCCGGUCUUUCUUUACCAGUCAUGGGUUGAGUCCAACCUCAAACACGCAUACACAGCUCUCGGGCUAGGGGGACCCCCCCACCUGACUAACACAAAUCUAGAUUUACACUUAAUUAACUCAUUCACGGGGGGUACAAGUGAUGUAUACUGUUUUUGUUUAUAAACUUGCAACCAAACCAUAAAAAUGUGCAAUGUACACUAAUGCCCAAUAUUGUUUUGAAAUGUUGACAUCUCGGUUGGUACAUGUUGUUGUGGCAUUGCCUGCUAUUAUGUAUUUUAUGAGCACAAUAAAAUAAAGAAUUUAAAAAAAAAAAAAAAAUCUGGGACCCAUGGUUCUACGAAUUCCCACUCCCCACCUGAAACACAUACAGACCCACCCCACACAAAGUCACACCACAGACACUCCACCCACAAACACCAUAUUGAACCACCAUCCAUCCCCCUUACCCCAACCCUCCCCCUCCCCCCCCCCACACCUGGGGAGACGCAAUCCCACAGACGCAAACCACAACCCAUGACCACCAAAACCGAGAGAAUCAUCAGGCAACAUCUCCCUGGAGAUGAAUCUUAACCCACAAACCAGGACACACCGUAACACACUCAGGGAGACUGAACUCAACCGAGAUACCAAGAGGCGCCCCGAAACAGCUAGACCUCCACUAACACACAACAGAAUCACCACAACACAAAACAAAUGAGCAAAACCACAACCCAGAACAAAAUGGGGCACCCAGAACACACACACACGAACCAAAAUAGACAGGGCGACACCAUGCACGGGCCACAAAUCCUGUGCACCACAUGACAAAUAUCGCAUAACACAAAUCAACAUGGACACUUCAUUACGCAAAAGGCUCACAUAGGUCAACACACUCUCUAUCCCAACUGGCUGCACCAAAAUAAAAAGAAUCAGAACUAAAAUAAAGGCACAAAGGAAAAUGUGGGUGAGUGUACCCUACCCCCCACCCUUCUUUUUUUCUGUACCCCACCCAAACCCCAAAACAAUGAUGACAGACAUGUAAAACUGUUAAGCUUGGUCAAAUGCCAUGUUAGAACAUCCCCAAGUUUUCAUUUCUGUACCCCCUCCCCAAACAACAAAUCUUCUAAAAUAAAGAAUUUAUAAAAAAAAACAGUUGCUUUUUUGAUAUAGAAUAUAUUAACAAUGUAAUUGUACUCUCCUCACUCUCAUCGAACACAAGGUUCAUUCCCAUAAAUCCCUAUUUGCCCUUCCUUGCACUUUAAAAGUCUUAUAUGUUGUCCAGCUGUCAAAUCUCAAUACUACAAGGUAUGCAAAAACUUGAACAAGCUACUAAUGAAGAACCUGCCCCCCCAGAGCAUGUAUACAUGUACUGUACCACAAACUGCAUAUCUGUUUUAGAUCUCCACAUCCUAAGACACGCAAGCUGAGAAAGGUAUAUGGUUGCACGCACUUGUUCUACGUAUACUUUGUAGACAACGAAAGUCAAUGCAACCAGAAUAGCUGGUACUUGUAAAAACAAAAGAAAUGUGCCUGCUUAUUAAACAUCAUUGUCUUAACUCGUAAACUUUGUUUAUCCCACGUAUCACCUGUGUGUGGCUGAAUGUCUAUUUCAUGUGCUUUUCUUUAUAAUAUAAUAAUUUAUAAUAAUUAUAAAAACCUAAAAAUAAAGAUGGUCAAAAAAAAAUACGUAAUUUAAAAUGAAA
rnacentral:lncRNA from 1 species